CUGGUUGAUCCUGCCAGUAGUCAUAUSCAWUCUCAAAGAUUAAGCCAUGCAUGUCUAAGUAUAAGCAAUUUAUACAGUGAAACCGCGAAUGGCUCAUUAAACCAGUUAUCGUUUAUUUGAUAGUACCUUACUACUUGGAUAACCGUGGUAAUUCUAGAGCUAAUACAUGCUUAAAAUCCCGACUGUUUGGAAGGGAUGUAUUUAUUAGAUAAAAAAUCAAUGUCUUCGGACUCUUUGAUGAUUCAUAAUAACUUUUCGAAUCGCAUGGCCUUGUGCUGGCGAUGGUUCAUUCAAAUUUCUGCCCUAUCAACUUUCGAUGGUAGGAUAGUGGCCUACCAUGGUUUCAACGGGUAACGGGGGAUAAGGGUUCGAUUCCGGAGAGGGAGCCUGAGAAACGGCUACCACAUCCAAGGAAGGCAGCAGGCGCGCAAAUUACCCAAUCCCGACACGGGGAGGUAGUGACAAUAAAUAACGAUACAGGGCCCUUUCGGGUCUUGUAAUUGGAAUGAGUACAAUGUAAAUACCUUAACGAGGAACAAUUGGAGGGCAAGUCUGGU
rnacentral:rRNA from 1 species